rnacentral:lncRNA from 1 species
UCUGGACAUCGGGAACCAUUGCUAGAUGGUUACUUCGACUGGUAUAAAAAUUGGUUCCUAUGCUAUCGGCUUAGGUUCCAACCUAUAGGGUCAUACAUAUAAAAGGUUGUAACCUAAUCAGAUGGUUAAUCGACGAUUGAGAAUCAUUCUUAGGUUAAAUGAUCAAUGUGAUUGAUGUUUGACCUAAUGCAAGUGUUGCAGGAGGAUCGA